GGGUUUCGAGUGAGGCCUCUGGGUCACCUCCCACCCGUGUCUAUCGUACCUUGUUGCUUCGGCGGGCCCGCCGUUUCGACGGCCGCCGGGGAGGCCUUGCGCCCCCGGGCCCGCGCCCGCCGAAGACCCCAACAUGAACGCUGUUCUGAAAGUAUGCAGUCUGAGUUGAUUAUCGUAAUCAGUUAAAACUUUCAACAACGGAUCUCUUGGUUCCGGCAUCGAUGAAGAACGCAGCGAAAUGCGAUAAGUAAUGUGAAUUGCAGAAUUCAGUGAAUCAUCGAGUCUUUGAACGCACAUUGCGCCCCCUGGUAUUCCGGGGGGCAUGCCUGUCCGAGCGUCAUUGCUGCCCUCAAGCACGGCUUGUGUGUUGGGCCCCCGUCCCCCUCUCCCGGGGGACGGGCCCGAAAGGCAGCGGCGGCACCGCGUCCGGUCCUCGAGCGUAUGGGGCUUUGUCACCUGCUCUGUAGGCCCGGCCGGCGCCAGCCGACACCCAACUUUAUUUUUCUAAGGUUGACCUCGGAUCAGGUAGGGAUACCCGCUGAACUUAAGCAUAUCAAUAAGCGGAGGAA
rnacentral:rRNA from 1 species